AUGAUGAUGAUGAUGAUGAUGAUGAUGAAUUGAUGAUUAUACUAAUGACUCAUGGUCGAUGAAGACUUUACAGAGCAUUAAGCUCAUAGUUUUGCAAUAAGACGAUGAUGGUAUACGAGCGUGAAACUCAACCGGUAUGGCUUCCGACUGCGAGAAAGUGUUUUAAUCUUCUCCAACAAUGUCACCGCCACGGCAGAUUCUCACUUCUUCAGAUUCAUGCUUUCAUGCUCCGCCACGCCAUAGAGACCAACGUUCAAAUCUUCACCAAGUUCUUGGUUUGUUCUUCGUCUGUUGUUGGGAUUACUUAUGCCCGUAAGUUGUUCGAUCAAAGGCCUCACAGAGAAGACAGUUUCCUGUGUAACUCCAUGAUCAAGGCCUAUCUUGAAACUCGUCAUUACACUGAUUCGUUUGCUCUUUACAGAGAUCUUAGAAAGGAAGAUACUUGUUUUGCUCCUGAUAAUUUUACUUUCACGACUUUGACAAAGUCGUGUACUUUGAGUUUGUGUGUUAACCAAGGUUUACAGUUGCAUAGCCAGAUUUGGAGAUCUGGGUUUUGUGCAGAUAUGUAUGUUUCGACUGGAGUUGUUGAUAUGUAUGCCAAAUUUGGGAGGAUGGGGUGUGCGAGGAAUGUGUUCGAUGAAAUGCCUCAGAGAAGUGAGGUUUCUUGGACGGCUCUAAUCUGUGGGUAUGUUAGGUGUGGAGAGCUGGAUUUGGCGAGUAAGCUCUUUGAUGAGAUGCCUCAAGUCAAGGACGUUGUGAUAUAUAACGCAAUGAUGGAUGGUUACGUUAAGUCUGGAGAUAUGACCUCUGCCAGAAGAUUGUUUGAUGAGAUGACUCAUAGAACUGUUAUCACGUGGACCACUAUGAUACAUGGUUACUGCAACAACAAUGACAUAGAAUCUGCGAGGCUUUUGUUUGAUGCUAUGCCAGAAAGGAACUUAGUUUCUUGGAAUACAAUGAUAGGAGGAUACUGUCAGAAUCAAAAACCUCUUGAAGCUGUAAGAUUGUUUCAAGAAAUGCAGGCAACCACCUCUCUAGAUCCGGAUGAUGUGACUAUUGUGUGUGUGCUACCAGCUAUUUCUGACAUGGGUGCUCUCAGUCUGGGUGAAUGGUGUCACCAUUUUGUGCAGAGGAAAAAGCUCGAUAAGAAGGUGAAAGUGUGUACUGCAGUUCUUGAUAUGUACUCGAAAUGUGGGGAGAUAGAGAAGGCGAAAAGAAUGUUUGAUGAGAUGCCAGAGAAAGAAGUAGCCUCUUGGAAUGCUAUGAUACAUGGGUAUGCUUUGAAUGGGAAUGCACGUGCAGCUUUGGAUCUAUUCUUGGCAAUGCUGAAAGAAGUAAAGCCAGAUGAGGUCACAGUGCUUGCAGUUCUCUCAGCUUGUAACCAUGGCGGAUUAGUGGAGGAAGGAAGAAAGUGGUUCCACGUGAUGAGAGAAGAAUUUGGCCUGAAUGCUAAAAUUGAGCACUAUGGCUGUAUGGUUGAUAUACUAGGCAGAGCAGGGAACCUAGACGAAGCAGAGGAUUUGAUUACAAACAUGCCUUUUGAGCCAAACGGUAUAAUUCUAAGCUCUUUCUUGUCUGCAUGUGGUCAAUACAAGGAUAUAGAAAGGGCUGAGAGAAUUCUGAAGAAGGCAGUCGAAUUGGAGCCACAGAAUGAUGGGAAUUAUGUUCUGUUGAGGAACUUGUACGCUGCAGAUAAAAGAUGGGAUGAUUUCGGGAUGGUGAAAAACAUGAUGAGGAAGAACGAAGCCAAGAAAGAGGUUGGUUGUAGCUUGAUUGAGAUAAAUUAUAUCGUUUCUGAGUUUAUAUCAGGAGAUACAGCCCAUCCUCAUCGGCGAAGCAUACAUAUGGUUCUCGAGAAGCUGCUUAUGCACAUGAAAGAGGAGGAAGCCAACUGGUGAGAGUAACUCACAGUUUCAUAUUAGUUCAUCACAUGCUACUCAAUAUGAAAUACUUGGGGGCAAUAAGAGUUAGUUGUGUCAUUCUAAGAGAGGGAACCUCCAUGUUCAGACCAAUGGACUCAGAGAGCAAGGCACACACACAGAUCAAAGGUCUCCACGAACAAGUUAGAUUCUGCUUAAUGCAAGUCAUCAUCCGAGGAAUCAAUUACUCUUCUCGUGUUCCUCUGCAGUGGAAACUUUAAAAAGCUCCAUACUCAGUUCUUUGUUUGGUAUGUCUCUGCAGUGCAAUGAAACAGCUCCACUAGCUCUUGGAACAAAGAUAUUAGCAUCAGAAGCUUUGGCUCAUGAAUGGGAUAGCAAGACUGAAUCAAAGAUAUACUUCAGUGAUAUAUGCAUCUUUUCCUGGUAUGAGGCCAUUGGUAACUUCCUAUCCCAUUUAUACAGCAACAUUAAACACCUGCUUUACUUGGGAAAGUGAGCAAAACAAUGGCGUGAUGGAGACUGGAUGUGCACACAUUGCAAGAAUCGCAAUGAUGCAUCAUCUCGAUCAGAGUGCAAUGUAAUAGGUGCAAGACUAAAGGAGAUACUAUUGAAUCAAGAGAUAACUCCAACACUACAAUCUUGAAGAAUCAGAUAAAGAAUGUUCUUCUAUACACUCUGGUUUCAUAAAUCCUCCCAAGUGAUGAGUGUGAUCACUCUCUCUCUUACAGCCUUUGAACCUCUGUUUCUUUUCUUGCUUUUUAAAAUUUCCUGUUUCGGUUUCAAUGUUUCCUUGUUUAAUCCGACAACCUAUCUUCUUAAGUUAUAGGAUCGAAAUGUAGAAACAUCAUUGAAAACCAUUUUGUUUUGCCGCAAAAAGACUUAGCUACUAGUUUUUCUGCAACAAAUAAGUAUAUAAUGAUACUACAA